GGUGGCGGCUGUGGAGUAGAGGACUGCGAUGAUGAUGAAAUGGAGCAUCUUAGAUCGUUUUCAUCCGGCGUUUUCCUUUCCACCGAAACAAAAACCUCGGAGUUAUUCGAGUCUGUAACUUCCUGUACAUCGUCUUUGUCGUCGUCGUCUUCGUCGGUGUAUACUUUCAGCUCUUCCUCCACGGAAGAAGAAAGUCAGCGGAAUUCACACGUGGAGUCGAAGCUU
rnacentral:misc_RNA from 1 species